ACCGAAUGUGCCUUAGGGUGAAAGAUUUAUUGUCUAGAGAUUGGCUCGCGUCAGAUUAGCUAGUUGGAGUGGUAACGGCACACCAAGGCGACGAUCUGUACUUGGUCUGAGAGGAUGACCAGGCACACUGGAACUGAGACACGGUCCAGACUCCUACGGGAGGCAGCAGUGGGGAAUUUUCCGCAAUGGGCGAAAGCCUGACGGAGCAAUACCGCGUGAGGGAGGACGGCUUUUGGGUUGUAAACCUCUUUUAUCAGGGAAGAAUCGAUGACGGUACCUGAUGAAUCAGCAUCGGCUAACUCCGUGCCAGCAGCCGCGGUAAUACGGAGGAUGCAAGCGUUAUCCGGAAUUAUUGGGCGUAAAGCGUCCGUAGGUGGUUUAUCAAGUCUGCUGUCAAAGCGUGCGGCUUAACCGCAUAAGGGCAGUGGAAACUGAUGAACUAGAGUGCGAUAGGGGUAACAGGAAUUCCCAGUGUAGCGGUGAAAUGCGUAGAUAUUGGGAAGAACACCAGCGGCGAAAGCGUGUUACUGGGUCUGCACUGACACUGAGGGACGAAAGCUAGGGGAGCGAAAGGGAUUAGAUACCCCUGUAGUCCUAGCCGUAAACGAUGACAACUAGGCGUGGUUCGUAUCGACCCGAGCCGUGCCGUAGCCAACGCGUUAAGUUGUCCGCCUGGGGAGUACGCACGCAAGUGUGAAACUCAAAGGAAUUGACGGGGGCCCGCACAAGCGGUGGAGUAUGUGGUUUAAUUCGAUGCAACGCGAAGAACCUUACCAAGGCUUGACAUCCUCGGAACCCUGAUGAAAGUUAGGGGUGCCUUCGGGAGCCGAGAGACAGGUGGUGCAUGGCUGUCGUCAGCUCGUGUCGUGAGAUGUUGGGUUAAGUCCCGCAACGAGCGCAACCCACGUUUUUAGUUGCCAGCAUUCAGUUGGGCACUCUAGAGAGACUGCCGGUGACAAACCGGAGGAAGGUGUGGAUGACGUCAAGUCAGCAUGCCCCAUACGCCUUGGGCUACACACGUACUACAAUGCGUCGGACAAAGAGCAGCCAGCCAGCGAUGGUGAGCCAAUCUCAUAAACCGACGCUCAGUUCAGAUUGCAGGCUGCAACUCGCCUGCAUGAAGGCGGAAUCGCUAGUAAUCGCAGGUCAGC
rnacentral:rRNA from 1 species